GAUGAACGCUAGCUACAGGCUUAACACAUGCAAGUCGAGGGGCAGCAUGAUUGAAGCUUGCUUCAAUUGAUGGCGACCGGCGCACGGGUGAGUAACACGUAUCCAACCUUCCGUACACUCAGGGAUAGCCUUUCGAAAGAAAGAUUAAUACCUGAUGGUAUCUUAAGCACACAUGUAAUUAAGAUUAAAGAUUUAUCGGUGUACGAUGGGGAUGCGUUCCAUUAGGUAGUAGGCGGGGUAACGGCCCACCUAGCCUACGAUGGAUAGGGGUUCUGAGAGGAAGGUCCCCCACAUUGGAACUGAGACACGGUCCAAACUCCUACGGGAGGUAGCAGUGAGGAAUAUUGGUCAAUGGGCGGAAGCCUGAACCAGCCAUGCCGCGUGAAGGACUAAGGCCCUACGGGUCGUAAACUUCUUUAGACGCAGAGCAAUAAGGUCCACGUGUGGACCGAUGAGAGUAUGCGUAGAAUAAGCAUCGGCUAACUCCGUGCCAGCAGCC
rnacentral:rRNA from 1 species